UGCCCACUGAUAUAUUAAUUAAAGGGCUGCAGUAAUUUGACUGUACAAAGGUAGCAUAAUCAUUAGUCAUUUAAUUGAUGACUUGUAUGAAAGAUUGGAUGAAAUAUAAUCUGUCUUUUAAUUAUGAUUAGAAUUUAAUUUUUUAAUUAAAAAGUUAAAAUAAAUUAAAAAGACGAGAAGACCCUAUAGAGUUUUAUAAAUAGAUUAAUUAAAAUUAUUAUUAAAGUAAAUAAAUUGAAAUUUAUUUAUUUAUUUUGUUGGGGUGAUAGAAAAAUAUAUAAAACUUUUUUUUUAAAAAAUUACAUAUAUAAGUGAAUAUUUGAUCCAGUAUUAUUGAUUAAAAGAAAAAAUUACCUUAGGGAUAACAGCGUAAUUUUUUUUUUUAGUUCAUAUAAAAAAAAGAGUUUGCGACCUCGAUGUUGGAUUAAGAUAAAAUUUAAAUGCAGAAGUUUAAAGUUUUUGA
rnacentral:rRNA from 1 species